GAUGAACGCUGGCGGCGUGCCUAAUACAUGCAAGUCGAGCGAACAGAUGAGGAGCUUGCUCCUCUGACGUUAGCGGCGGACGGGUGAGUAACACGUGGAUAACCUACCUAUAAGACUGGGAUAACUUCGGGAAACCGGAGCUAAUACCGGAUCAUAUAUUGUACCGCAUGGUUCAAUAGUGAAAGACGGUUUUGCUGUUACUUAUAGAUGGAUCCGCGCCGCAUUAGCUAGUUGGUAAGGUAACGGCUUACCAAGGCAACGAUGCGUAGCCGACCCGAGAGGGGGGACAGCCCCAACGGAAACGAGACACGGGCCCAACCCCUAAGGGGGGGCGACAUGGGGAAUAUUGCCGAAAGGGGGGAAAGCAUGACGAACCAACCCGCGGGGGGUAAGAAAGGUUUUGGGUUUGAAAAACUUUUUUUUUGGAAAGAAAAAAAUGGGAAUAAAACUCCGCCGUUCUGAAGGGACCCAAAGAAAAAGCCCCGGCUAAAUUCGUG
rnacentral:rRNA from 1 species